UGAUUAUAAACAGUUAUAGCCAAGCAUUCAUUGUGACGUCGCUUUUUGAUCCUUCGAUGUCGGCUCUUCCUAUCAUUGUGAAGCCAAAUUCACCAAGCGUUGGAUUGUUCACCCACUAAGGAAGCGCCAACUCUGACUGUCACUGAAUCAGGUAAAGGAUGAAACCAGAUGUAUAGCUGUCCAAAGUUCUCUACAAACAUCAGGAGCCUGAGAAAGAGGAUAUCAUUCAGGAGGAAAGAUCUAGAGGGGAAUAAGUUCAUUGGUUCCAUGUGGAUACAGACCUUGAAGCAAUUGAUACCAAUUGAGAAAGAGAGGUUCUAGAUCCUGAACAGGAUUUGGAUUUGGAGAUCUCGGCUGUGCACAGGGGAGUCAUCUAAUGGCAAACAAGCAAUGCCAACUACGGCUGGUUCAUUCUGCAAGCAACCCAAGGGGUAUGAAGACAUGUGUGUGCAAGCUCUUAAAUCAAAGUCCUUCAAUUCAGAUAAGUGACUGAUGUGUGUAGCGACCAUUCCUGAGUAAAUUCAAAAGCAGCAUUUGAAGGCUUUAAAACUCUGGAUCAAAUGCCAAGUAAGCUGUGCAAAGCAGCCAUGGAAAAUGAUGAAAACCUACUACAAUGCAUUCCCACUGGAGCCGGCAUACAACUUGAGUCUAGCCAGCAGGGUCCAGUGCUGACUCUCAGUCGGAAUGCUCCAGUUUGGUUACUUCAGGAGCUGUGCCAGAGGAGGAUAAACAGAAACAAAUGUGAAAUAGUCUGUCCUCCAGUGCUAGCUUGGAGUCCUUUUCCUCACCUUCUCAUGGUGAAACAGGCUGACAGCAUCGUGUGGGUCCAGGCACACAAAGCACAGUCACAAAAUGCACAGAUAUAAGACGUUGGCAAACCUGCUGAGCUUCUCCAGUAUUCUCUGUGUUUGUUUCAGUGGCAAAAGAAGACACCCCUGAGCAACAAACAAGGAAUUGCAUCCAGGAACAAAAUUAUGGGAUGAUCCUGUAAAAGACACAUACUUGGACACCACAUUUGAUAAUGAUUUUGUGAAACAUGUUGGGAUGUGUUACAACAUUAAAGCAGUACAAUCUAUUGCUGUUAUAUUCUGUCAGUAUGACACAUACAGAACCCGAGGAUGGUGUCUGGGACCUCAACGGACCAAGUGUUCUUUGUUUCCAGGAAUUUCAUUCAUGUCUUGAAAGGAGCAGAACCUCAUCCCUUAACAAGGCAAACAAUGAGAUAGUCAGAAAUAUGGAUCCACAUGCAAGGAUCCCACAGCAUUCUCAA